GAUGAACGCUGGCGGCGUGCCUAAUACAUGCAAGUCGAACUUGAUUUUCGGAUUGAGUGGCGAACGGGUGAGUAAGACAUAGGUAACCUGGCUUAUAGAGGGGGAUAGCCACUGGAAACGGUGGAUAAUACCGCAUGAAUAUAUCGAAGGCAUCUUGGAUAUAUAAAAGGAGCUAAGGCUUCGCUAUAAGAUGGGCUUAUGACGCAUUAGCUAGUUGGUGAGGUAAAAGCUUACCAAGGCGACGAUGCGUAGCCGGUCUGAGAGGAUGUCCGGCCACACUGGAACUGAGACACGGUCCAGACACCUACGGGUGGCAGCAGCC
rnacentral:rRNA from 1 species